GCCUUAUUGAACUAAUAUAAGGUGAAGCCUGCUCAAUGGCUACAAAUAAAAAAUAAUAGUAGUUAAAUAGCCGCGGUAACUCUGACCGUGAUAAAGUAGCAUAAUCACUCGUCAUUUAAUUGAUGACUGGAAUGAACGGCUUUACGAAUCCUCAACUGUCUCGUUAAUAAAAUUAAUAAAUUUGAAUUAAUAGUGAAGAUACUAUUUACAAAUUGUAAGACGAAAAGACCCUAUUGAGCUUUACUAGAUACCUAAAUACUAAAAAUUUUACCGCGAACUAACAAUAUUUAGGAUAAAUAGUUUGGUUGGGGCGACCACCUCUAAAAUAGUAUCAGAGGAAAUCUUAAGGUGAUAAACAAUAUUAAUUAGCCUAACUGUCUAUUUACUAAUUAACCAGUUACUAUAUGUAGGAUAUAAUGACCCGUUGAAAGAAUUUUAGACAUCAACGACCAUGAAAAAAGUUACCAUAGGGAUAACAGGGUAAUAUUUCUGAAGAGUUCUCAUCGAUAGAAAUGUUUGCCACCUCGAUGUUGAAUUGUGAUAUCCUAAAGGUGUAGCAGCUUUUAAGGGUUG
rnacentral:rRNA from 1 species